GACAGAGGGGGCAAGCGUUGCUCGGAAUUACUGGGCGUAAAGGAUGCGUAGGCGGACAUUUAAGUCAGAUGUGAAAUACCCGAGCUUAACUUGGGUGCUGCAUUUGAAACUGGGUGUCUAGAGUGCAGGAGAGGUAAGUGGAAUUCCUAGUGUAGCGGUGAAAUGCGUAGAGAUUAGGAAGAACACCAGUGGCGAAGGCGACUUACUGGACUGUAACUGACGCUGAGGCAUGAAAGCGUGGGGAGCAAACAGG
rnacentral:rRNA from 1 species